CCCUUAGAUGUUCUGGGCCGCACGCGUGCUACACUGAGUGGAUCAGCGGGUCAGGUUGCGCGAAAGCGUUUCCUAAUCUUGAAAUCCGCUCGUGAUGGGGAUUGACGGUUGCAAUUUUCUGUCAUGAACGAGGAAUACCUUGUAAGCGCGAGUCAUCAUCCCGCGCUGAAUACGUCCCUGCCCUUUGUACGCACCGCCCGUCGCUCCUACCGAUUGAGUGGUCCGGUGAGGCUUUGGGAUCUGAGCGGAAAGAGCGUUUCGCUCGUUCUGCCCGGAAAACUCAGUCGAACCUUAUCAUUUAGAGGAAGGAGAAGUCGUAACA
rnacentral:rRNA from 1 species